UACGUAGGGUGCGAGCGUUGUCCGGAAUUAUUGGGCGUAAAGAGCUUGUAGGUGGCUCGUCGCGUCGGGAGUGAAAACCCGCGGCUUAACCGCGGGCCUGCUUUCGAUACGGGCGGGCUAGAGUUCGGCAGGGGAGACUGGAAUUCCUGGUGUAGCGGUGGAAUGCGCAGAUAUCAUGAGGAACACCGGUGGCGAAGGCGGGUCUCUGGGCCGAUACUGACGCUGAGGAGCGAAAGCAUGGGGAGCGAACAGG
rnacentral:rRNA from 1 species